rnacentral:rRNA from 1 species
GACGAACGCUGGUGGCGUGCCUAAUACAUGCAAGUCGAGCGAGACUCUUCGGAGUCUAGCGGCGGACGGGUGAGUAACACGUGGGCAACCUGCCUGUAAGACUGGGAUAACACCGGGAAACCGGUGCUAAUACCGGAUAAUCCUUUUCCUCUCAUGAGGAGAAGCUGAAAGUCGGUUUCGGCUGACACUUACAGAUGGGCCCGCGGCGCAUUAGCUAGUUGGUGAGGUAACGGCUCACCAAGGCGACGAUGCGUAGCCGACCUGAGAGGGUGAUCGGCCACACUGGGACUGAGACACGGCCCAGACUCCUACGGGAGUCAGCAGUAGGGAAUCUUCCACAAUGGACGAAAGUCUGAUGGAGCAACGCCGCGUGAGCGAUGAAGGCCUUCGGGUCGUAAAGCUCUGUUGUUAGGGAAGAACAAGUACCGGAGUAACUGCCGGUACCUUGACGGUACCUAACCAGAAAGCCACGGCUAACUACGUGCCAGCAGCCGCCGUAAGAC